rnacentral:rRNA from 1 species
CCUACGGGAGGCAGCAGUGGGGGAUAUUGCACAAUGGGGGAAACCCUGAUGCAGCGACGCCGCGUGAGGGAAGAAGUACCUCGGUACGUAAACCUCUAUCAGCAGGGAAGAAAAUGACGGUACCUGACUAAGAAGCCCCGGCUAACUACGUGCCAGCAGCCGCGGUAAUACGUAGGGCGCGAGCGUUAUCCGGAUUUACUGGGUGUAAAGGGAGCGUAGGCGGGCGAGAAAGUUGGAUGUUAAAUCUCCGGGCUUAACCGGGAGCUGCCUUGGAAACUUCGUGGCUUGAGUGCAGGAGAGGCAAGCGGAAUUCCUAGUGUAGCGGUGAAAUGCGUAGAUAUUAGGAGGAACACCGGUGGCGAAGGCGGCCUACUGGACUUUAACUGACGCUGAGGCUCGAAAGCGUGGGGAGCAAACAGGAUUAGAUACCCCGGUAGUC